CCUACGGGAGGCAGCAGUAGGGAAUCUUCGGCAAUGGACGAAAGUCUGACCGAGCAACGCCGCGUGAGUGAAGAAGGUUUUCGGAUCGUAAAACUCUGUUGUUAGAGAAGAACAAGGACGUUAGUAACUGAACGUCCCCUGACGGUAUCUAACCAGAAAGCCACGGCUAACUACGUGCCAGCGGCCGCGGUAAUACGUAGGUGGCAAGCGUUGUCCGGAUUUAUUGGGCGUAAAGCGAGCGCAGGCGGUUUCUUAAGUCUGAUGUGAAAGCCCCCGGCUCAACCGGGGAGGGUUAUUGGAAACUGGGAGACUCGAGUACAGAAGAGGAGAGUGGAAUUCCAUGUGUAGCGGUGAAAUGCGUAGAUAUAUGGAGGAACACCAGUGGCGAAGGCGGUUCUCUGGUCUGUAACUGACGCUGAGGCUCGAAAGCGUGGGGUGCAAACAGGAUUAGAUACCCCUGUAGUC
rnacentral:rRNA from 1 species